ACUGAUACCACAGGGAGUGGGGUGUUCAUUACCAUUUGGUAGGGAUGAAAAUCCCAGCUUUCUACUUGAUCUUCUCUAACACUAUCCCUGUAGGGAGGUUGAAGGACCUCAUUACAGUCUGGUGAGGAUGGAAGUUUAGGUUCCCCAUUUGGUCUUUGCUGGUUAGGUGGGACCAGGUCAUGCUUGUUCUGUGGUGUUUACUUAGAGUGGUUAUUUUCUUAAAGUUUUCUGUCUUACUCGGCCGCCCCUUUUCUGGACUUUUGGUUAGAGAGAGUAGGCUUUUUCUGUGGUGUUUGGUUUCUUUCUUUGUUUUGGUCUGCUUCUGUUUCUGGAUUGCCAACUUCUUCUGCUCCAAGCCUGGGAUAUAUGAAACAGAACAAAAAUUCAGGGAACUUUCCACUAUGUCAUUCAUUGCUUUUUUAAUGUUUUAUUUUUUAGAGCAACAUAUGCUGGCAAAAUACAUCAUUCAUUUCUUAAUUCCUAGAAUCUCUAUCCUGUCUGCCUUCUUUCCACUGUUCUAAGUCUUCUUAUGUUUGUUUUCUAUAUAAAAUCCAUGGAUUUCAGUUGAACUCAUUGAGAGAAAUUGGAAAAAGUAAGUCUACUACUUGUUUCCAGAGGUGGAAAUCUUAUUUAUUUAUUUGCUUAAAAAAUGUAUAUAUUUUAGAGAUGAGGUCUUGCUAUUUAGCCCAGGCUGCUCUUCAACUCUUGGCCUCAAGCAAUUUUCCAUCUUGGCCUCUCAAAGUGCUGGGAGAUACCAAAAAAUAUUUUUCUUUUUUACUUUAUUUAAAAAUAUUUCUUUAUUUUUAUUUAUAAAGUUUUGAAAACACAGAAAAGUAUCAGGAAAUAAAUAAACAUUACUCAUAGUUCUAUCAUUGUUAACAUUUGGAAUAUUUUCUUCAAGUUUUUUCUUAUACACUUUUUGUCUACAUUAUUGGACUCAAACUAUAAAUGCCUUUGUUCACCUUGACACAGUAUUUCCUUAUGCCAUUAAAAUUUAUUAUUAACAUUAAUUUGUUGAUUGAAUACUAUUCCAUUUUGAGAAGCUGUCAUGAUUUACUUAACUACUCCCCUGGUGUCAGAUAGUUGAGUUUGUUCUGAUACAUGUUUAUGAUUUACUCUUUUGUAUAAAUCUACAGAAUUUUCAUUUCAGAUUAUUUCCUUAAGAUAGAUUCCUAGAAAUAAUAAUUGCAUUACUGCAUCAAAAAUUAUGAACAUUUUUUUUUUUAUUAUUAUACUUUAGGUUUUAGGGUACAUGUGCACAAUGUGCAGGUUUGUUACAUAUGUAUCUAUGUGCCAUGUUGUUUUGCUACACGCAUUAACUCAUCGUUUAGCAUUAGGUAUAUCUCCUAAUGCUGUCCCUCCCCCCUCCCCCAACCCCACAACAGUCCCCGGAGUGUGAUGUUCCCCUUCCUGUGUCCAUGAGUUCUCACUGUUCAAUUCCCACCUAUGAGUGAGAACAUGCGGCGUUUGGUUUUUUGUCCUUGCGAUAGUUUACUGAGAAUGAUGUUUUCCAGUUUCAUCCAUGUCCUACAAAGGACAUGAACUCAUCAUUUUUUAUGGCUGCAUAGUAUUCCAUGGUGUAUAUGUACCACAUUUUCUUAAUCCAGUUUAUCGUUGUUGGAUAUUUGGGUUGGUUCCAAGUCUUUGCUAUUGUGAAUAGUGCCGCAAUAAACAUACGUGUGCAUGUAUCUUUAUAGCAGCAUGAUUUAUAGUCCUUUGGGUAUAUACCCAGUAAUGGGAUGGCUGGGUCAAAUGGUAUUUCUAGUUCUAGAUCCCUGAGGAAUCGCCACACUGAUUUCCACAAUGGUUGAACUAGUUUACAGUCCCACCAACAGCGUAAAAGUGUCCCUGUUUCUCCACAUCCUCUCCAGCACUUGUUUCCUGAUUUUUUAAUGAUGGCCAUUCUAACUGGUGUGAGAUGGUAUCUCACUGUGGUUUUGAUUUGCAUUUCUCUGAUGGCCAGUGAUGAUGAGCAUUUUUUCAUGUGUUUUUUGGCUGCAUAAAUAUCUUCUUUUGAGAAGUGUCUGUUCAUGUCCUUCGCCCACUUUUGGAUGGGAUUGUUUGUUUUUUUCUUGUAAAUUUGUUUGAGUUCAUUGUAGAUUCUGGAUAUUAGCCCUUUGUCAGAUGAGUAGGUUGCAAAAAUUUUCUCCCAUUCUGUAGGUUGCCUGUUCACUCUGAUGGUAGUUUCUUUUGCUGUGCAGAAGCUCUUUAGUUUAAUUAGAUCCCAUUUGUCAAUUUUGGCUUUUGUUGCCAUUGCUUUUGGUGUUUUAGACAUGAAGUCCUUGCCCACACCUAUGUCCUGAAUGGUAUUGCCUAGGUUUUCUUGUAGGAUUUUAAUGGUUUUGGGUCUAACAUUUAAGUCUUUAAUCCAUCUUGAAUUAAUUUUUAUAUAAGGUGUAAUGUAAGGAAGGGAUCCAGUUUCAGCUUUCUACAUAUGGCUAGCCAGUUUUCCCAGCACCAUUUAUUAAAUAGGGAAUCCUUUCCCCAUUUCUUGUUUUUGUCAGGUUUGUCAAAGAUCAGAUAGUUGUAGAUAUGUGGCAUCAUUUCUGAGGGCUCUGUUCUGUUCCAUUGAUCUAUGUCUCUGUUGUGGUACCAGUACCAUGCUGUUUUGGUUACUGUAGCCUUGUAGUAUAGUUUGAAGUCAGGUAGCAUGAUGCCUCCAGCUUUGUUCUUUUGGCUUAGGAUUGACUUGGCGAUGCGGGCUCUUUUUUGGUUCCAUAUGAACUUUAAAGUAGUUUUUUCCAAUUCUGUGAAGAAAGUCAUUGGUAGCUUGAUGGGGAUGGCAUUGAAUCUAUAAAUUACCUUGAGAGAAGAAUCAAAUAGAUGCAAUAAAAAAUGAAAAAGGGGAUAUCACCACCGAUCCCACAGAAAUACAAUCUACCAUCAGAGAAUACUACAAACACCUCUAUGCAAAUAAACUAGAAAAUCUAGAAGAAAUGGAUAAAUUCCUUGACAAAUACAGCCUCCCAAGACUAAACCAGGAAGAAGUUGAAUCUCUGAAUAGACCAAUAACAGGCUCUGAAAUUGUGGCAAUAAUCAAUAGCUUACCAACCAAAAAGAGUCCAGGACCUGAUGGAUUCACAGCCGAAUUCUACCAGAGGUACAAGGAGGAACUGGUACCAUUCCUUCUGAAACUAUUCCAAUCGAUAGAAAAAGAGGGAAUCCUCCCUAACACAUUUUAUGAAGCCAGCAUCGUCCUGAUACCAAAGUCUGGCAGAGACAUAACCAAAAAAGAGAAUUUCAGACCAAUAUCCUUGAUGAACAUUGAUGCAAAAAUCCUCAAUAGAAUACUGGCAAACUGAAUCCAGCAGCACAUCAAAAAGCUUAUACACCAUGAUCAAGUGGGCUUCAUUCCUGGGAUGCAAGGCUGGUUCAACAUACGCAAAUCAAUAAAUGUAAUCCAACAUAUAAACAGAAUCAAUGACAAAAACCACAUGAUUAUCUCAAUAGAUGCAGAAAAGGCCUUUGACAAAAUUCAACAACCCUUCAUGCUAAAAACUCUCAGUAAAUUAGGUAUUGAUGGGACGUAUCUCAAAAUAAUAAGAGCUGUGACAAACCCACAGCCAAUAUCAUACUGAAUGGGCAAAAACUGGAAGCAUUCCCUUUGAAAACAGGCACAAGACAGGGAUGCCCUCUCUCACCACUCCUGUUCAACAUAGUGCCUGAAGUUCUGGCCAGAGCAAUCAGGCAGGAGAAGGAAAUAAAGGGUAUUCCAUUAGGAAAAGAGGAAGUCAAAUUGUCCCUGUUUGCAGAUGACAUGAUUGUAUAUCUAGAAAACCCCAUCGUCUCAGCCCAAAAUCUCCUUAAGCUGAUUAGCAACUUCAGCAAAGUCUCAGGAUACAAAAUCAAUGUACAAAAAUCACAAGCAUUCUUGUACACCAAUCACAGACAAACAGAGAGCCAAAUCAUGAGUGAACUCCCAUUCAUAAUUGCUUCAAAGAGAAUAAAAUACCUAGGAAUCCAACUUAAAGGGAUGUGAAGGACCUCUUCAAGGAGAACUACAAACCACUGCUCAAUGAAAUAAAAGAGGAUACAAACAAAUGGGAGAACAUUCCAUGCUCAUGGGUUGGAAGAAUCAAUAUCGUGAAAAUGGCCAUACUGCCCAAAAAUUAUGAACAUUUUUAAGGCUCUUUAUGGUAAAUGUGCUGAACUGCUUUCCAGAAAGUCUGUGCCACUUUAUGAAUGAUUCUAUCAAUUUUGUACAAGAAUGCCCUUGUAACUGUCCUCUGGUCAGUUUUCAGCACUUGCCAAAGAUCUUGACCAAUUUAAUACAUAAAAAUGGCAUCUUGUUUUUAGCUUUCCCUUCAACCUUAUUCAAAAUCAAUCAAAGUUUGGUGUAAUUCAGUUUGUUGGGGGCCUAUUAUCUGUAAAUUUGCAUACUGGAUGCUAAAAUGCCACAGUGGAUAGAAAGAGGAAAAAGACGUGUUCUCACCAGGGAACUCAAAGUAUAGGAAGAGCAUUGCCUAAUAAGUACCGAACAGGUGCCACUUCUCAGGCAUUAGGUAAGCACUUUACAGAAAACGUUAUUUAAUUUUUACAUUAACUAUUGAAAGAAGAAUCAUUAUCUGUAUGAAUAGUAGUCUCCUUUUCUGUAUCAGUCAGCACUUCCUAAAUGCCAUUGUGAUAAGAAUCAGCUGAGACACUGAACUGGCAAUGCCCUGGUCCUCUGACCUGACCCUCAGACAUUUGGGUGAUGACUCAGGAAUCUGUUUUUAACAAGUGCCCUGUGAUUCUGAUGCAUAUGGUUUGUAGUCUCACCUUUAGGCACAUCAGUACAAAUAUUUAUUAUGGAUUGGAAAUAGGGGCUAUAUGAUCAUUGAGCAAGGAAUUAUUUUCUCAUAAUGGCCAGAUAACUCAUUACCUAGUGGGUAAAGCUGUUUCAACUGUUUCCAGGGCUUAGUUUAUGUGGGAGACUCCAGCUCUUUACACUCUUGACUUUUCACUUACCAAUAAGGAGGUUUCCCCCAAGAGAAACAGUAACUGCUGUAAAGGUAAAUACAUGGCAGUCACACCCAGUAAGGAAUAGCACUGAACACAUUUGGACCACACACAUUUGUACAUCCAUGCAACCCCUCUUGACAUAUCCCCCAGCAAAGACCUUCAUGUCAUCCAUCUUUUCUCAGCCUUAGACAAUAGCCAAACCAUGCCAGUUGAACAAAUAUAAUGAGUCCCUGCAGCCUGCAUGCUGUUAAGAUGCAAAGUUGAUACAACUCUGUUUCUGCCUCAAGGAGCUCACAUUCUAGUAGGAGAAGCAUACAUUUAAUUCAGCGAACUCAACCACAAACGUUACACCAAAGACAAAGUGAUCUAGGUGAAUUCUAUCAACAUUUUCCUUCCUUCCCUUUCCUUCCUUUCCUUCCUUCCUUCCUUCCUUCCUUCCUUCCUUCCUUCCUCCCUCCCUCCCUCCCUCCCUCCUUCCCUCCCUCCCUCCUUCCCUCUCUUAUUGAGCCCUUAUUGUGUACCAGUCCCUGUGCUAGGUAUUAGUACACAAAGAAAAGUUCUAUGUCUCAAUAUCUGGUGGGGACAGAGUUCAAUGGGCUAGUGCUUUGACACCCGUAUAUGCAAGGUGCUGUGAGAACAUAGAAGAAGCUAACGACCCACUCCUGGAUGGCUUCAUUGAAAAAGUGCUAACUGAAAGGAAUCUUGAUGGAUGAACAGAAGUUUAACUGCAAGUCCAGAUAGGGCAAAGGAGACAAUGUACAAAGGUACUGAGAUGUAAAGGGACAAAGCACAUUCCAUUUGGGGAACUGAAUGUACCUUGGCAAAGCUGGAGUGCAGGGUGUAUAUGAGCGUGCGGUGGGGUGGGACGAGAACAGAGAGUUGAGGCUGAAAAGAUAUUGUAGGGAAGAUUAGGAAGAACUUUAUGUGCUGUUGUAAAGAGAUGUAAAGAUUUUAAGUAUGUGCCUAACCAUCCUGGUUUGCCUGAACUUCCUGGACAUUAGCAUUGAAAUCGCAACAUCCCGAGAAACUCCUCAGGCAAACCGAGACAGCUGGUGACUCUAGCAGGGAAGUGAAAUCAGAUGUCUGUUUCAGGAAGAUCACUCUGCAGCAGUGUGGACAACCUCAGACAGAGAUGGAACUGAACCCAUUGGCUGUUGCAGUGAUUCUAGUGAGACUACACGUUGAACCAAUAAGGCAGUAGUAUUACAGAUGGAACAAAGGAAACCAAUUUGAGAAAUAUCUAGAAGACAAUCAGUAGACCUUGGACUCAUUAGCUGUUCAGGGAAUGUCGGGAGAAUAUUAAAGGGAAUGUCCAGAUUUCUGAAUCAUACCACUGGAUGUGUAAUUGUGGUGAUGAUGGUGAUUCAGACACAGAGGAAGGUGCAGAUAAUGAGUUUGGUUUUGAACUUGUAACUAGUUCUGACUGAGGAGGUUUCACAAAGUUACAUUUGAGUAGUACUUUUAAAGAUUGCUAGAAUUUUUUUUUCCCUAGGAGAAAAAGCAAUGAGGUUGAGACAGGAUUUGAGAAACAAAAAUAAAAGCAAAAACAAACAAAAACCGAAAAAAAAAAAAAACCCACUUGGAUAAAGGCAUAGGGGUGAGAAAGCAUAGGGCAAGCUUCCCUAGGAAUGGUGAGUAGUUACAGGACAUAUUCAUUUUAGGUGCAACUUUGCCCAAUUUGACACUGAAUAAACUGAGGAAAAUGAGAGAAGGGAAGGGUAUUUUGUUGCUACAAAUGCAGGAUAAGGAAGAACAACCCAACUGGGGUGCCAUGGGUGGCCCUGGAGUGCUUAUAGGAAUGUUAAGAUAUGAGUCCCUUCCCGCUUCAAACAGCCUUAUGCAGUUACCUGAUCAGCACUGAGCAAAUUUUUCUAUGGAUGCUGUUACAUGAAAAAGAUUUCAAAGCCCUGUGCUGAGGAAACCUCUUGUUGGUUUAGAGCCAAACUUAAAUUGACAAAAAAUUAUAACUAAAUUUUUAUUAGAAUGCAAAGUAACAAAACAAAAAUAAGGCUCCUUAUAAACAGAAAAUUUGGCUACUGUUAUCAUUCCUCUGUGGGAUAAAUGUAAUUAUUCCUAAACAAACAAACGAAUAAACAAAUCGUGAAAAGAAAGCAGCUGGAGAUUAGGUUACUUGUCUCUUGUUUUUGUGUAACAUCUGCAAUUGGUGGGAGGUGUCGUUAUUAGUAUAUUAGCACUCUUGCACAAUGACGGCUGGCCCUUCCAUAAAUCAUCACCGUGAAAAAGGGAAGGAGCUGGAUUAAAACAAAUGGCAAAAGUUCAGUGAUAAUUAUAUGAGAUGUCUGAUAUUUCACCCCUUUCUUUUGUUGUGAAAUAUAUUCUUGUUAUAUAUUAUACAUAGUGUAUAUAUUAAUAUUAUAUAGUACGCCUAUAUAAAAGUACAUAAAAUAUUUAUGUACAACUUAAUGGAUAAUUAUAAGUUGAACACAUUAAUUAACCAUCGAGUUUAGGAAGUAGAAUAGUGCCAAGUCAAUUUUUUUUUUUUUUUUUUUGAGACGGAGUCUUGCUCUGUCUCCCAGGCUGGAUUGCAGUGGUGUGAUCUCGGCUCACUGCAACCUCCGCAUCCUGGGUUCAGGUGAUUCUCCUGCCUCAGCCUCCCGAGUAGCUGGGACUACAGGCAUGUGCCACCAUGCCCAGCUAAUUUUCGUAUUUUUAGUAGAGACGGGGUUUCACCAUGUUAGCUAGGAUGGUCUCGAUAUACUCACCUUGUGAUCCACCCACCUCAGCCUCCCAAAGUGCUGGGAUUACAGGUGUGAGCCACUGUGCCCAGCCUUGCCAAAUCAAUUUUUAAAAGCCAGUUAUAGAGGACAUCGGUAGGUCCAUUGGUGAUAUUUGAAUAUGGUUUGGGUAUUAGAAGAGCUAAAAGCUCAUUGACCUGCAAAAAUGGAGACCAUUGAAUAAAAAAGCAGAUUGCAAAAUAAUGUGUACGGUAUGGUUUCAUUUUGGUAGAAGAAAAAGUAUAUGCAAUGAGUUGUUAAUUGUGGUGAUCUCUGGGUGUGGUAAUAUAAAGUUUUUAUUUGUAUUUUUAUUUUCUGAUUUGUAAAAUGUGCAUGCAUUGCUUCUGUAGUAAUAAAAGCAUUAAAAAAUCCCCUUGAGAUAACAUUAUAAUUAUCUUGCCCAGCAUUUAAUGUCUUGAAUUUCCCUGCAUCAGCUGGGUAUGGCAUCCCAGGGUACUUGAAAAAGGUAGAAAUUAUGGUCUUCCUUAUGCCCCACUAUUCUCCCAAACAAUUUUCCAUUCUUAUCAAAUCAUUCAUUUCCCUUUUACAUAUUCUAAUGUCACCAUUUCCACUUCUGUCCAUUGGCUUGAAAUUCUCUAGCAUAUCCAGGGCCCCUCUUCUGUCAGUCAAAACCUGAGUUAUGCAUCACGGCUUGAUGGUGCCAUCUUAAGAAUUUCAAGAAACCUUCUACAAGGCUGUGCUUGAAUCUAAAUACAGUCAUAGAAAUAUAUCAAAUAGUCUUCACACACUGGAUAAUUCUGAUGCUCAGUUGAUCAAUAUGGCACAGUAGCCAGAGUCACAGGGUGGCAGGCUAGCUCCCAUUUGUGGGGUCAAGCAUGGGGGUUCCUGCAUGUGACAUGCUCCUUCUCCCAGAGGACGCUCUGACAGUUCUUAAGCAGGUAGUCUGCACAACAUAAACCAAUUUUCACAAAUGGUGCAACAGAAACCAUUUGUAUUUUUCCUUAAAGGAAUAUUGAAUCCUGAGUGAGAACUACAUGGACAGCUUUGAAGUGAAGGCAGGCAUCUCAGUGGAUAAGAAUUAUGACCUUAGAUGUGCUUGUGUAAGGGGGUUGCAAGCUGUCACAUGUGUGAUGUUCAGAAGGUUCCUAUUGCUACAAGAACUACAGGUAGUUCUGUAGAGAAAUACCUGUAGGGAGGGACUGAAGAGAUCAUAUAAUUCAACCCUCUAUGUUACAGAUGGACAAACAGGCCCAGACAGGGUGUAUUAGUCCAGUUUCACACUGCUAUAAACAACUUCCUGAGACUGGAUAAUUUAUAAAAGAAAAGAGGUUUAAUUGACUCACAGCUCCACAUUGCUGGGGAGGCCUUGUGAAACUUACAAUCAUGAUGGAAGGUGAAGGGGAAGCCAGGCAUGUCUUACAUGGCAGCAGGAAGGUGGGGGAGGGGGGAAGUGCCACCCUUUUUUUUUUAUUUUUAGUUUUGGAGGCAGAGCCUCACUCUGUCGCCCAGGCUGGAGUGCAGUGGCAUGAUCACAGCUCACUGCAACCUCUGCCUCCUAGGCUCAAGUGAUUCUCAUGCCUCAGCUUCCCAAGUAGCUGGGAUUACAGGCACAUGCCACCGUGCCCAGCUAAUUUUUGUAUUUUUAGUAGAAAUGGGUUUUCACCAUGUUGCCCAGACUAGUCUCAAACUCCUGACCUGAGUUGAUCUGCCCACGUUAGCCCCCCCAUAGUGCUGGGAUUACAGGCAAGAGCCACCGCACCCAGUCAGGAAGUGCCACACUUUUAAACCAUCAGAUCUCGUGAGAGCUCACUCACUAUCAGAAGAAUUGCACAAGGGAAGCUGUCCCCAUGAUCCAAUCACCUCUCACCAGGUCCCUCCCUCGACAAUUCUAGAUGAGAUUUGGGCAGAGACACAGAGCCAAACCGUAUCACAGGGGAAAGGGAUUAUUUAAUACCAGUGGAGUUUAGAUUAAAUCCCAGCUAUUGCUUUUUGCUUUUUCCUAAACCAGUGGUUGCAAAGCUGUGGGCCGCAACUCUUGAUGUUUUAAGAGUUACUGCUAUGGGUCCGAGGACUCAUAUGACCAACAAGCAUUGAUGUGAUCUCCAUAAAUAAAAGUGGAUCUCAGUCAUUUGAGAGUAUGUGGCAUUUUUUUUGAAGUGCCACAAAAAUGUGCAAAAAUUAUAUACAACCAAUUUAAUAAUAAAGUGAAACCUGUAUGGUCAUUGUCUAAGUCAGAAGACAGAACACUGCUAGCAUUCCAGAGGUUCCCCUGGAGCCCUAACUAAAGCCCAUCUCUGUUGCUCUCUCCCCACCCAGAGAUAAUCUCUCAUAUGACUUUUUAAAAUAAUUAUUUCCUUGCCUUUUAAACAUAUUAUUUUUUUCUAAUGAUUUAUGUAUCCCAUAACAAUAUUUUUGAAGUUUACAGGAUCAAAAUCACACUGAUUAUAUUAUUAUUAUUUUAAAAUUCUUUGUUAUUUUACUUUAAGUUCUGGGAUACAUGUGAAGAAUGUGCAGAUUUCUAACGUAGAUAUACAUGUGCCAUAGUGGUUUGCUGCACCUAUCAAUCCAUCAUCUAGGUUUUAGGCCCCGCAUGUAUUAGGUAUUUGUCUGAACGCUCUCCCUCCCCUUGCUCCUCACCCUGCAACAGGCCCCAACGUGUGUUGUGUUGUUCCCCUCCCUGUGUCCAUGUGUUCUCAUUGUUCAACUCCCACUUAUGAGGGAGAAAAUGUGGUGUUUGGUUUUCUGUUCCUGUGUUAGUUUGCUGAGAAUGAUGGCUUCCAGCUUUAUCCAUGUCUCUGCAAAGGACAUAGUCUUAUUCUUUAUUAUGGCUGCAUAGUAUUCCAUGGUGUAUAUGUGCCACAUUUUCUUUAUCCACUCUAUCAUUGAUGGGCAUGUUUAUUGCAGCAUUAUUUACAAUAGCAAAGACUUGACUAUAUUAUUUUGUGUUCUCCUUCUUCUGAUUAUUUAUAUUCCUAAGAUAUAUCCAUAUCAUUUCAUAAAUGAUAUGACCUAGCAAGCCAGGCCUAGCAAGCAGUAUGCAUAUCUUGAAAGUUACUAUAAUGCCAAAUUUCUUUCAAAACUAGUUUUAAUCAUUUAUCUCUCACCAGCAAUGUUAAGGAAGGGCUCCUUAUACUAAGAAGGGUGGGAACCAUUGCUGUAUAACAUGCUGUCCAUUCACUUCUUCUAGAAACUUCCUGUAUAUGGAAAAGAUUCCAGACUAUCUCAACAGGGGAUUUGGUUAUAUGGUGAUUUCCAAAAUGAUUUCAUCUACACAGGCCCUUGUUUAGGCACAGACUUUUUUUUUUUUUUUUUUUUUUUUUGAGACGGAGUCUUUCUCUGUCGCCCAGGCUGGAGUGCAGUGGCACGAUCUCGGCUCACUGCAAGCUCCACCUCCCGGGUUCAUGCCAUUCUCCUGCCUCAGCCUCCUGAGUAGCUGGGAUUACAGGCGCCCGCCACCACGCCCGGCUAAUUUUUUGUAUUUUUAGUAGAGAUGGGGUUUCACCAUGUUAGCCGAGAUGGUCUCAAUCUCCUGACCUUGUGAUCCGCCCGCCUCGGCCUCCCAAAGUGCUGGGAUUACAGGCGUGAGCCAUCGCGUCCGGCCUAGGCACAAACUUUUAAUGGAAGAUUAAUAUAUAAAAUAGAUAAAAACAGAGUUGUUCUGGUUGAAAGAGAUGUGUUUGUGUGCAUUCGUGUGGGGUGAUGAGGAGAGAACUUAGAGUCCUACAUUUGGGCUUCAACCCAGUGUCUGACACAUAGUGUAAUUAUUAGCAGGAUUACCUGAAAAUGGAACAGCCUUCCCCAGGAAGUAGAGUUUGCUUUAUUGGAGGUGUGGGACCCAGGAAAGCAUUUGUUAUAGAUGUUGUAGAAGGGGUCCAUGAUCAGAUCAUCUCUGAUCUUUUCCUCUCUUAAUUCAUAAUAGAUUUUUCAUUUUCUAAAAUCUGUAGUUAGUGGCAAAUAUACCCAGGGAUAAAGGGAAAUAAUAAUGCUGGGGGAUAAAAUGUAUUGCCAAAAUGUAUUCUUCAUUGGCCAAAGAGUGGAAGUAUGAUUUUGGAAGGAGAUCAUUGCUUUUCCUGUGAUUUCUUUCUAUGUGUCCUUGUUUGAGAAUUAUCUUAUGAUGUCAGCUUUCUUCUCUAAAAACUGAUGAGUUUGACUAGAUGUUUGCUAAGCAUUUAUCAGGUGCCAACACUCUAUGAUUGUCAUUUUUGGCCUUUCUGUUUACUAGUCUAUUAAUAUUCUUAUAUUCUUCCUUAGACUAGAAUCCUUACAAUAAAAUUUGAGCCAUUCAUUCACUCAAAAAAUAUUUGUGGGCCUGUUAUGUGUCAGGGAUUCAGCAAUCAACAAGACAAACUGAAGCCGUUCUGCUCUUGUGAAGCUUACAUUCUAACAGAUUGGAAAAACACAAACAAAUACGAAAAAAUCAGUUAGAGAUAAGGGCUCAUACAGAUCUAAAAUAGGAUGAUGUGCAAGAGAGUGACUAGGUAGCUGUUUUAGACUGUAUGGUCAGGGAGGCUGAGAUCUGACUUAUAUGGAGGGGCAAGACAUGUCUGGCUAUCACUGAGAGGUUAUUAAUCAGCCUGAAGUCUAAUUUCCCCCAUAAUAAUAACAACUUAUAUUUGAAUAACUCUUUUACAACUGUUAUCCCAUUUCAUUCUCAUAACAGUUUUGUGAGGUAGGCAUUAGUAUUCUUAUUUUUUAGAUAUGGUAGUGACUUGUAGAUAAUAAAAUUAGUAAGUGGCAGAACCAGGAUUUGAACCCAAGUGCUUUGUCUUUAAAUAUGUUGGCUUUCUCCUGUGCUACCCUGGCUUGAGUCUUUACACUGUGCAGUAAAUAGGUUGCCUAGACAGGGUGGUAUUCCCAGAUACUGACCUCUGUAUGCUCUUAUUGUCUUACACCUCUCAUAUUUUGAGCUGUUUUUUAUUCACAAUACCUCUGACACUAAAUGUGUGGAGUUUUUCUCUUCCUGACACCAACCAGUUCUCCAGCUGUCUGGACACCAAAUGGGUGUCCUAUAAUUUAAUUCAAUCUGACAUUAGCUACUCAGAGUUAGUGUCAGUCUCCAUAGGUUUAAGGGCUCAGUCCCACAAGACUGUCCUCAUACAGAUGCCAGUCACAAAUGUGGGUUCCCAGGUUACCCACACUUCUGUCUGAUUUGGCUAUUAGGUUGGGAGGUUCGCAUACCCCCACCCUUUCAGGUUCAAUGAUUUGUUAGAAUUUUGGAAAACACUUUUCUCAUUGUCUUAGUCCGUUUCAUAUUGCUGCAAUAGGAUAUCUGAAGCUGGGUAAUUUAUAAAGAAAAGAGGUUUAUUUGGCUCAUGAUUCUGGUGACUGGAAAGUCCAAAGUUGGCAGCCACAUUUGGGGAGGGCUUCAUGCUGCUUUGACUGGUGAUGGAAAGCAGAAGGGAAGCGGACAUGGGAAAAAAGAUCAUGGCAAGAGAGGAAGCAAGAAAGAGAAACUGAGGAAGCUAGAUUCUUUUUUAAUAACCUACUCUUGUGGGAACUAAUGAGAGAGAGAACUCACCCCUCUGAGAGGGCAUUAAUCUAUUCGUAAUGGAUCUGCCCCCCUGCACCAGAUCCGUACCACUAGGUUCCACCUCCCAACACAGCCGUAUUGGGGGUCAAAUUUCGAUGUGAGUUUUGGUGGGGACAAACCACAUCCAAACCAUAGCACUUACUAUUAUCGGCUUAUUAUAAAGGACACAAAUGAAUAACCAGAUGAAGCACUACAUAGGGUGAGGUCUGGAAGACUCUCUAGCCCAGGAGCUUUUGUCCCCAUGGAGGGAAAGUACACUACCCUCCUGGUAAAUGGUUGUGUUUGUCAACUCUGAAGCUCUGCGAAUACCAUCAUUUAGGGGUUUUUAUGGAGCUUCCACUACACAGGCAUAAUUGAUUAAAUCAUUGGCCAUUGGUGGUGGAACUCAGUCUCUAGCCCCUUUCCUUUCCCUAGAGGUCGGGGGUGAAACUGAAAGUUCCAAUGAUCUAAAGAGAUGGUUGAUUCCUCUGACCACCAGCCCCCAUCCUGAAGGUCAUCUCAUUAGCAUGAACUCGAAUAUGGUUGAAAGGGGCUCAUUUUGAUUUUUUUUUUUUUGAGAUGGAGUUUAACUCUUGUUGCCCAGGCUGGAGUACAAUGGCGCGAUCUCGGCUCACUACAACUUCUGCUUCCCAAGUUUCAGUGAUUCUCCUGUCUCAGCUGCUGGAGUAGCUGGGAUUACAGGCACCUGCCGCUAUGCCUGGCUAAUUUUUGGAAUUUUUAGUAAAGACGGGGUUUCACCAUGUUGGCUAGGCUGAUCUCAAACUCCUGACCUCAGGUGAUCCACCUGCCUCAGCCUCCCAAAGUGCUGGGAUUACAGGCGUGAGCCACCACGCCUGGCUGAGAGGGGCUCAUUUUGAAUAACAAAAUAGACUCCUGUUAUUCAGAACAUUCCAAGGGUUUUAGUUGCUGUAUGCCGGAAACUGGAGACAAAGACAAAAUAUUUAUUUAUUAUUAUACUAAAGACACCAUCAGAAAGAGAAGUUUUAAUUUCCUCAUCACAUGAGAGCCUAGAAAAUGCCUCUUGCCCAAGAUGACCGGACCAAAAGAUUAGGAUGAUGCCUGUAGAAACCACUCUCUGGCUAUUGGGUGGAGUCCCUCUUGCCUAUUUCCUCUCACUCUGUAGUUUGAAGCUUCUGAAAACCUGUUAAAGGGGAAGCUACGAACCUGUCUGGGCAGCACGUCCAUUAGCUCAAAUCUGGACAAUCAACAAGUGUUCAUGCACUGUCACUUGUGACACCUGCCAGAUGAGAAUAUCAGAGAGCUAAGAAGGAGGAGGGAGUGUCUUCAUGACAGGCAGCCUUGUUGGGUGAAAAGAAUUUUAAAUAAGAAGGACCUGGCUCUCUUACCUACCGGCUGGGUGACCGUGGGUACAUUUCUUAACCUCCCCAAACCUUACCUGAUUCUGAUCCAUUCCUGAUACUACCUUCCUUACAGGAUUGUGAGAAUUAAAGCAGCAUAUGACAAAAUAUAUAUUUAGGGUGACUGGAACAUAAUAAAAAGUUAUUAUUUACAUAAAAUGUAAGUUUUCUUGAACUUCAACCCAAGUUUGUGUGGGAAAUUAUCUACAGGGCAGGGUCUUACCUUCUUGCCUGCAAAUGAUAGGUGGGAUAUGUUGCUUUUCUGUCAGCCAACCUGUGGGACAAGGAGGAGUUUCCAUAGGCAGUAGAUGACAACAUACUGGGCUGAGAAAAGGAACCCUGAUUAGUCAAAGGAAACUAAAGCCCCAAACACAUCUGUUUAGCCUAUUUCCAUAAUCAGACUGCUGCUCAGCUGAAAUGGCCAUAGGCAGUGGCCUCUGUCACUAACUUUCUCUGGGAAUGCUAACUUUAGGAUAAUUAUGAGGGGUCCACCUGCUGACUAUGGAGGGGGAAAGAUGGAGAAGCAGUUUUUUUUUCUGUUUUUCUAUUUUAUUAGUAUUAUUUUUUUAGAUGGAGUCUUGCUCUGUGGCCCAGGCUGGAGUGCAGUGGCACCAUCUCAGCUCACUGCAACCUCUGCCUCCUGAGUUCAUGCCAUUCUCCUGCCUCAGCCUCCCAAGUGGCUGGGAUUACAGGCAUGUGCUACCACACCCAGCUACUUUUUGUAUUUUUAGUAGAGAUGGGGUUUCGCCGUGUGGGCCAGGCUGGUCUCGAACUCCUGACCUCAGGUGAUCUGCCCGUCUCGGCCUCCCAAAAUACUGGGAUUACAGGCAUGAGCCACCGCACCUGGCUGGAGGUGCAGUUUUUAAGGGUUCAGCAAACUUGGUUUUCAAAAGCCAUAGCUAGAGUAGCGUACACAUCCUAGAAUCCCGAAGUCCCAGCCAAAGUUGUAUUAUCUAACCACACAUGAUUAGGUUAAUGGUAACAUUAGAGUACUUUGAACUCCUGUAGGGCAUUAACCUGACAUUUUGUCAUUAAAUACAUUCCUUGUAUAGUCUACCUUUGCUCAAGGCUAAUUCCUCCACUUGGAGUGCCCUUUCCUACUCUCCUUUCCCAGCUAUCAAAAUUCUACCAAUUCUCUCCAAGUCAAUUGCAAAAUUAUUAUUCUUUUGGAAAGUUUUUCCUAUUAAUUGUCUCAGUGGGAGAUCUUCAUCAUUUGAAACUAUUUUUUCCCCUGUGCUUUUCAUAUGGCAUUUAAUAUUUUCUUCCCUGAAUUAUAGUUAUUUUAAAACUCAUCAUCUCUUCUGUCAGCUCCUUGAGGGUGGAAGAUUUAUCUCUAGCAGACACACCUGACCCAUUGUCUUAGACAUAGUAGGCAAUUUGAAUGGAAAACUGGAGCAAAGAUACUGUGCUGGAGGUGCAGCACAGAAGCAUUUUUACGAUCAUUGCCUUGGUUCGUGAGCCUGACACCUGGACCAGGUGUCAUUCUAUUGUUCCCCAUAGCAAUCAUGAGAAAGAAAGUGUGGCAAGAGAAACUGGGAGUCAAUGACCAGAGAGGUGACAUUCCAAAGCUGGGAAUGAGAGAGAAGUGACAUUCCAAAGCUGGGAAGAGAAUCUGAUUAAGUAUCAUCCCAACUAUCUCCCAGCUGUGGCCAGUUCACUUCGUUCCUCAGGAUCCCCUCAAGGGCCACUCCUGUAACCACUGAAUGGAUGUAAACAUUGUUAAUGGAAAAUGGGACUCAGCUGCAUGCCAGUAGUCAUUGUUGGAGAUUAUUAUUUUUUAUUUUUAAUAAAAAUAAUUUAUUUUUUGCAACGUAAUAUACAAGACUGGGAAUUCGGCACAAUUCACACUAAAGUGAUUGUGAACACACUUUUUGGACUAGAGCAGGAGACUGGAGAGUAGAUAUCUAACCAGUUUGUCCCUUCCAGGGCAGACCCUUGGUUUGGCUCUGUUGAAGACAGAGAGUGUGUAAAACUCAGUCUUACCUUUAGCAUCUUUUCAACUCUUGGGGACAGGCUAAAAAGAGAAAGAAAAAGCAAAAAUCCUAGCAGUCAUUCAAGAAACCUAGACUUAGAGAUUAACUUGACGUAAUGCAAGUGAUGUGACUAGUUUAACAUUUCCUAAUGACCAAAGGCACAGAGCAGCAUCUGGGAGUUGCUGUGUUUUCUCCUUCCUCCCCUCAGUGGACUGAUUUUAUUUUUAGUGUCCAAGGAGGUAAUACAGUUAAAUUUGUUGGGCUAGGAACAAGGAGAGUACAAGGUUUAUUAACUUCCCAUCCUUCUGUCUUGCCCUUCUCCCUCCCUCCCUCCCUUUUCUACCUUUGCCUCCUUCCUUUAUUCUUUCCUUUAAUAUAGCCACUCAUUUAUAUAUUGAUUGAUUCAGCAAAUAUUUAUUGAGUGCCCAUUACAUGCAGAUAAUGUAUGUGAUGCUGCGUAAACAAUGUUGGAAGAAAAAACUUGAUCCUACUAUUACAUAAAUUAAAGCCUAGUUGUAGGGGAGCAGAAAGGAGGAAACAGAAAAGCAAGCAAAAAAUAGAAAUUGCAGGCCAGGUGUGGUGGUUCACACCUGUAAUCCCAGCACUUUGGGAGGCUGAGGCGGGUGGAUCACCUGAGGUCGGGAGUUCAAGACCAGCCUGGCCAACAUGGUGAAACCUCGUCUCUACUAAAAAUACCAAAAUUAGCAGGGCACAGUGAUGGGUGCCUGUAAUCCCAGCUACUCAGGAGGCUGAGGCAGGAGAAUCACUGGAACCCAGGAGGUAGAGGCUGCAGUGAGCCGAGAUCGCGCCACUGCAUUCCAGCCUGGGCGACAGAGUCAGAGCAAGAUUCUGUCUCAAAAAAAAAAAAAAUUACAAAUUGCAAAUUGUGAAAAUUCUACAAAAGUAUUAUAAAGGGCACAUGAGAUUAGGGGCUUAAUUAUAUAGAAUGAUUGGCUGAGAUCUCUCUGAAAAGCAAAUAUUUAAAGGAGACUGAAAGAAUGAGAAAUAGCAAGCCAUGGGAAGACAAUGAGGCAGGAAAGGGCUGGGCGAAUUCAACAAAAUGGAAAGAGUCCUCAUGGCUGGUACAGAGUGAUAUAGAGGGGGAGUGGUCCAAGAUGGAGUUGGAGAGGAAGGCAGGUGGUAGAUCACAUGGGCAAUCUGCAUUCUCUCUUAGUACCUCAGUUUCCUUAUCUGUGAAAUGAUUUGUUGGGCUGCAUUGCAACCAUUACCUACUUUGUUGGUCAUUUAGUAUUAAGUGUCAAUCCUCUUUUACCAUGAGUUUCAAAAUCAAAAUUUUCUAGUUCUUUGGGUGCUGAAGAUGUCAUCCUAGGCACUAGGACCUAGAGAUCUGCCUAGUUUAGGUGGGAGGAAACUAAAAUGCCUAAAGCAGGUUUUAUCAAUCUUGGCACUAUUUUGGGCCAGAUAAUUUUUUUCUUGUAGAGGGUGGAGGUAGGGGAAUGUCCUCUGCAUUGUAGGGUGCUUAGAAGCAUUCCUGCCUCUGCACACCAGAUGCCAGAAGUAACUCACCCAGUUGAGAAUUGGGUGACCCAAAAAUAUCUCCAGACAUUGCCAAACGUACCCUGGGAGACAAACUCUCCCUUGAUUGAGAACCACUGGUUUACAGGGUGAGGCUGUAGCUCCAAUGAGCAGGUCUGGCAUGAGAUGUGAGAUGGAACCUAACAUAUAGCCUCAGUAUUGGGGAAAAAAGGAAGCAAGGCAGGAACCACGGAAAAGGGUGGGCACCUGCUCGUUUCGAGGGGGCAUAUGGUACUUGCUCUGACUGGUUCUUUUUUUCCCCUAAGACUUGAGGUACUCACAAUUAGAUCGUAAUCUUUGGUUUGUGACACACUCAUAUUAUUUGCCGAUGUUGUGUUGCAUUAAUUUGGUUAGCUACUUUAUUAGUUCUUUAUAAUAAUGUGCUGAACCCAUCACCACAAACAAAAGCUAGGACUUUGACAAUAAUCUGCAUGUAACAGUAUGGCCUCUCAUUCGUCUGCCUUCCCCCAACAGAGGCAGCCACUGUACUAAAUCAUGUGUUCAUCAUUCCCUUGCUUUCCUUCCUAUAUGGUUUUCUUUUAUCUAGAUAUAUCCCCCAAAUAAUUGAAAUGCUAAUUGUUUUUAACUUUAUAAAAAGGUUAUGAUGCUAUUACAAUCCUUUGCACUGACUUUUUUCAUUUCCUAUUCUAUUACUAAGAGUCAUACAUAUUGAUGUGUGUUGCUGGAGCUCAUACAUUUGAAGUGCUGUAUUAAAUCUCAUUGUGUGGACACACCACAGUACAUCUCACUCACUGGAUGGCGUCUGGGUUAUUUCCUGGGUUAUAUUAUACAUGGUUUUUUUUUUUGCCCUCCAACUGAUUACUGCAGUGCAAGAAUGAGGGAACAAUAUUGUCACCAUUUUAAUUUAUUUUUAAAAAAAGUAGAAAUCAUAAUUUUUAUGUGAAAAUAACUGAGGGACAAAUUUAAAGUUUUAAGAAAUACCUAACAGGUAAACAAGACUGUAGGUCAUUCCUUUUGGCCUCCAGUUUAAGAUUUCUAGAUUAGGUCAUUCAUGUUGAGAAUUUUUCACCUGAAUCUAGAAGUCAAGUUAACUUGGAAGAAAUUUAGAAAAAUGUUCUUUAGUAUUUAAGAGUGGCAAAGAAGAAACUGUACAGAGGCAAGAAUUUUAAUAGGUGUCCGGAUUGGGUGAGAAGCGAGGUAAAUCCACUGAAAUGCAUUUAUUUAAAACAGCUGGUUGUAGGCUGGGCAUGAUGGCUCACUCCUGUAAUCCCAGCACUUUGGGAGGCUGAGGUGGGCAGAUCACGAGGUCAGGAGAUGGAGACCAUCCUGGCCAACACGGUGAAACCCUGUCUUUACUAAAAAAAAUACAAAAAAAAUUAGCCGGGCAUGGUGGCGGGCACCUGUAGUCCCAGCUACUUGGGAGGCUGAGGCAGGAGAAUGGCAUGAGCUCGGGAGGUGGAGCUUGCAGUGAGCAGAGAUCGUGCCACUGCACUCCAGCCUGGGCGACAGAGCGAGGCUCCAUCUGAAAAUAAAAUUAAAAUAAAAUAAAAUAAAAUAAAAUAAAAUAAAAUAAAUAAAAUAAAAUA